GAUGAACGCUGGCGGCGUGCCUAAUACAUGCAAGUCGAGCGAACAGACGAGGAGCUUGCUCCUUCGACGUUAGCGGCGGACGGGUGAGUAACACGUAGGUAACCUACCUAUAAGACUGGGAUAACUUCGGGAAACCGGAGCUAAUACCGGAUAAUAUUUCGAACCGCAUGGUUCGAUAGUGAAAGAUGGCUUUGCUAUCACUUAUAGAUGGACCUGCGCCGUAUUAGCUAGUUGGUAAGGUAACGGCUUACCAAGGCAACGAUACGUAGCCGACCUGAGAGGGUGGUCGGCCACACUGGAACUGGGACACGGUCCAGACUCCUACGGGAGGCAGCAGUAGGGAAUCUUCCGCAAUGGGCGAAAGCCUGACGGAGCAACGCCGCGUGAGUGAUGAAGGUCUUCGGAUCGUAAAACUCUGUUAUUAGGGAAGAACAAACGUGUAAGUAACUGUGCACGUCUUGACGGUACCUAAUCAGAAAGCCACGGCUAACUACGUG
rnacentral:rRNA from 1 species